AUAUUAAAUUAUGUUUCAUAGCUAAAAAUUUGAUAUUAAAUGGAUGCCCUGUUUCCCCUGAAUGAAAUGAUAUAUAAUAAGGGUGGGUGCAUUUACUAUGAAAGAGGUGAAUUACGGUUGGACAGACAUGUAGCGCAAAUGCCAGGUUUUGUUUACAUUUUGUUUUGUUCACAAUGUGUACAUUUGGUUCCGUCCUUAAGGGGUUAAUAGUACUCAUAGAAUCUAAAACCACUAAACAAAAUGUUCUACUUAUGGAAUGUAGAACCC